AAACAGUCAAAACCACGCAAGAUGAGAGGGGAUGGGAUUUGGGGCUCGUCCUGUUUUUGAAAUCUCCAGAAAGCAGGAGGCUCGGCGCUGAGCGAGGCAGUGCUCGGCGAAGUCACGUGACGCGUGCUUCGGAAAGCAGAUUUCAGGACCGUGGACAGGGACAACAUCUUCAACAAGAUGCCGCAAAAGUUGAGUCCCCCCCCACACCCCCCCGCAAGCCUCCGGCAUUAAGCACCGGGGAUGCAGGGCAAUUAUUGAGAAUGGCGGAUAUUCAAGAGAUAAUUUCCCUCUUUGACUGAAAUCAGACAUUUGACAGGCUCAUAUAAAAAGUACACUGAUUUGCCAUUCAUCUUAUUCUUCCCAACAAAGUAAUUCAUCAGCGUUGGUAAUCUGAGUUGGUUACAUAAGACAAUAAAACUGCUCCAUCACCUAGAGGACUCGUUUUUUGGUGCAGUUGAGCCACACUCUAGUGCAUCUCAGUAGAAACAUUUCAUCAUUGAGUACGUCGUCCACUUACUUGCACAGUCGAGGCUUUCAGACGCUUUUCAUGGUCUUCGUCCAUCGGUGAGUAUAAACACACAAGUCAAUGUCAACAAUGGGCUUCUUUGAAGACAAUUCUUGAACUCAUGUUAAUAUCCUCCAGGAAUAAAAGAUUAGUUUCAAUGUUUGUAGGUUAAAACAUGGUCUGACUGUUUAAGAUUGUCCUUUACUGUCUCAUGUAAAGUUACACAAGGUUUCUUUUCAAUAGAAUACAGAAUCACACUUUAAGAUUAUAGAAACUAAUUUUGAUUGGUUGUCUUGUUUUAAUAUCUUAUUUCUUUAAUAUAUUUUAACCGUUGCCCCACACUGUAUCCAAUGUUUGCAAAGGGACAGCGUUUGAUGGCUCAAUUAGUUAAAAACGGGUGACCACCUGGCAGACGCUUCCUCCAACAUCCCCGGGUUACACAGGGUGCAUCCAUUGCAGGUUGCAAAUUGUGUGAGAAACAGAACACAGAGAAGAGAAGAAGCGGAAGGUGCGUCCGCAGCCGCAGGAGGGCAGAGCUCAAGAGAGGAAACACUCUGCACUCGUGGAAAUAACAAGUUGUUCAGCAAACAACAACAAAAAUGCGGGCAGAGCAGACAGGCCGGAGCCACUGAAGCACAAUGAAAUUAAGGCCCACACGAGGAAUAAUCGUACCUACUCCAAAACGUUUUUGUUCAUCCACAGAUUGGAUUUCUUCAAACAGCGUUGACGCAAAGCAAUGUCAUCUCGGUUCACUGCAGCUCUUUCCAGCAGUAUUUGGACACAUGCAUGUAUUUAUUUCAGCCUACAAUGUGCGCACCCUGCUUGAGGGCUAAUUACAUUUGCACAGCUCAAAGGCCCGCGAGUGUCACCUUUCCUUUUGAGACACCUCCCUGGCACAACGGCGUGGAGGAAAACAUCACGAGAUUUGGGGAAAACGAAGCUCGUAAUUGUGAUCUACUCGUGUUUGUGAUCAAGAAGUUCACAAGCAUAAGCACGUUGAAACAUAACCCACGGUUCAUUUGUCACGGAUGUUUCUUAGCCUGUCUAGUGCGGACACACACGCGCGCGCUCACGUGCGCUCACACAUGCCGUGAAGACCACGUGAGCUACAGAGGAGCAGAAAGAGACGACGAGAGGGAAGCACAGUUGACUUCCUCUGUCGUUACUCACACCUGCAGUAGAAUGCAUCUCCAUAGCAACAAGACUUGCAACUGUGCAGAGUUGAUAUUUGAGGUUGUGAUCUUUAAUGCCCACUUUUAUCUCCCUUUUUUACUGCAGUAUUUUGUGGAAAUGCAUUUCUCGGUGGGUUUUCUCCCUGACCUCCUCUCUUAAUUGGGUUUGUUUCACAACUAAGACUCGCUUGUCAUCAGUCUGUCAACUGAAAGCUAUUAAUAAAUCAUCCCAAAUCAUGCUCAUAUACGCAGGAACAAAAAUGGUGUAAUGAUUUCUUUGACUACAUCUCUCCUGUCAGCCAAUUACUGUAUACAAUGAACAUGUAAUUCAAAUUGGCUUAUACAAUUAUUGUAUCAUUAUUAUUAUAUAGUUAUUGUACAAUUAUAUAAUAUAUUGUGCCUACACGAUGCCAUCUUUUCUAAAACCUUUUUAAGUUGUUUCCGUAAUUUGAGUGUCAAAAUCAUGCGUGCAUGAUAAUCUAGAGUUUACUCAGCAAAGUAAAGUCAGUAAGGAAGGAAUAGUUUACAGUAUAUGUAACACAGCGGAGAUACGGUAUUCUCUCAGCACAUAUAAAAUAAAUGUAUUUUUUAUCAAUAUCAAAAUAAACUUAACACAUUUAUUGUGCUCUACUGUUACGGUUACACUUCUAUUUGUUGUAUAAGCUUUGGUACUAUAUCAAGAACGAACUCCCACCACCUCAUUUGAAUAAUGUGUCGUCGGUCUAAUUGGCACUGCUUCUUCUUCAUGAUGAUUUUCAAAUAUUGUGUAUUAUGAAUAAUGACAUGCUCUGCACACUACUUACAGUAUCACGCUGCACGCUUUUAUCCCCGAUGAUGUAAGCAAGUUCAAAAUCUUUAAGUGUAAUCAGGUGAAAGACCUGAGAGAUAAUUGAAAAUGCACACGCCAAGGAGGUAACAACAAAGUGGCAGUGGCCGUUCCUUUGAAGCUGAUGCGUUAUGUUGUUAUUAUGGGCAACAUUCAUAGCAGAUAAGGACACCUUAAAACCCUCUGUAAUUGUAUGCAUGAUGAAUAUAAAAGCUGCUGAGCCGAAGGCCUCGGGUGGAUUUCUUAUUUCACAAGAACCCUUAGAUGUCCUCGUGUCGAAUUCGUCACUCUGUUUUUUUUAUUAUUUUAUCCCUCUUAAAUAUGCAUCUAAUAGCCGGCAUUAGCUUCUCCCGAGAAGUGCAGCCUCAUCAUGUGGUAAUAAUGAGCCUGGUGGCCACUCGCAGGCAGGCUG
ensembl:lncRNA